CUUACCUAAUUAAUCGAGUGCAGAUCCUGUUAACAAAAUGGACGCCAACUUUUUUGUCAGCUCUAGUUUGUUUUGUCCAAUUAAUUAUGACUUCGUAUUGUGUUUACUUAAUUUAUGCGUGCAUAAGCACCACCAAUUAGCGAAAACAAGGAACCCAUUAUAUUGAAUUGUCAAUUUCCGGCGCGCUGCAAGUGCCGUUAAUUGCAUUUUGCAUGCCGCGGGGAAAUUCCGGCGCACGAAGAAACAGCUUCAUUGCGUGUCCACGAGGCGAGGACCUCCGCCAAAACGCCAAAAAAGAAAGAAACCGAAAAGAUCGAGACACCUACAGCAUGAAUUUAUGGCCAGGCGAUAAGCGCCGGCCAGGAGGAAAAUCCGCCUGGUGCCCAAAAUUGGACAAGGAACGUGUGCGUCGGACGGGCGGAGAAUUUAGUAGCUGUCAAGGCAUCAGCUGUGGCCCCUGGAAACACCUACAAAGCCACGAAACCUCCAUGCUUGCCAAAUCCCAAGAUGAAGCCAAGUCGGAGCGAACCUAAGGCCAAAGUCGGAGCAAGAGUUGAGGCGUCGGCGCACGCAAGGAGUGAGCCACAGUUCAAAAUCUUCUGUUAUCUGAGAGCAAAUAUUCAAGGAAGAACAACUCUGCGGAUAUAAAAAUUAAAAA